rnacentral:rRNA from 1 species
GACGAACGCUGGCGGCGUGCUUAACACAUGCAAGUCGAACGGAAAGGCCCGGCGGUAGCGGGCUGCUCGAGGGCCGAACGGGUGGGUAACGCGGGAGUAACAAGCCCUUGGUAUCGGGCUACAUUCAGGAAGCUGGGGCUAAUACAGGAUAGGAGAUCCUGCUGCAUGGUGGGGGUCGGCAUGUUACGGCGGUAGGGGAUGGACUGGCGGCAGAUCAGCUUGCUGGUGGGGUAGUGGAUGACCAAGGCUGGGACAGGUAGCCGGGCUGAGAGGGUGACAGGCCACGUUAGAACUGGGAUACGGCCCAGACUCCUACCGUACGCAGCGGUGCAGAAUAUAACACAGUGGGCGGAAGCCUGAUGCAACGACGCCGCGUGGGGGAUGACGGCCUGCAGGUUGUAAACCGCAUCCGCCUGAGACGAGGCGUGAGUGACGGUAAUGGGUAAAGAAGCACCGGCUAACUACGUG